GGGGCCGUGGUCUAGCUUGGUAGGAUGCCGGCCUUGGGAGCCGGAGGUCCCGGGUUCAAAUCCCGGCGGCCCCA
rnacentral:tRNA from 1 species